GGACGAACGCUGGCGGCAUGCCUAACACAUGCAAGUCGAACGGAAGUAGAAAUACUUAGUGGCGAACGGGUGAGUAACACGUGAGCAACCUGCCUUAUACACAGGGAUAACAGUUGGAAACGACUGCUAAUACCGGAUAAGACCACACUAUGGCAUCAUAGAGGGGUCAAAGCGGAUAAGCGGUAUAAGAUGGGCUCGCGUCCAAUUAGCUAGUUGGUGAGGUAACGGCCCACCAAGGCGACGAUUGGUAGCCGACUUGAGAGAGUGAUCGGCCACACUGGAACUGAGACACGGUCCAGACUCCUACGGGAGGCAGCAGUGGGGAAUAUUGGGCAAUGGAGGAAACUCUUACCCAGCAAUGCCGCGUGAGUGAUGAAGGUCUUUGGAUUGUAAAGCUCUUUGAUUGGGGACGAAUAAAUGACGGUACCCAAAGAACAAGCCCCGGCUAACUAUGUGCCAGCCGCUGC
rnacentral:rRNA from 1 species